rnacentral:rRNA from 1 species
UACGUAGGGUGCGAGCGUUAAUCGGAAUUACUGGGCGUAAAGCGUGCGCAGGCGGUUUUGUAAGCCAGAUGUGAAAUCCCCGGGCUUAACCUGGGAAUGGCAUUUGGGACUGCAAGGCUGGAGUUUGGCAGAGGAGACUGGAAUUCCGCGUGUAGCAGUGAAAUGCGUAGAGAUGCGGAGGAACACCGAUGGCGAAGGCAGCCUCCUGGGAUAACACUGACGCUCAGGCACGAAAGCGUGGGGAGCAAACAGG